CAGGGCUUGCUGCUGCACAAUUACGCAAGCAGAUCCUUUUGAAAACAACUUUUAAGAAGGAAAUGGGGAGCUUACAGCGAACAAAUGAGAACAGUGCUUAUUGUAACUGUGUGCCUAGCACUGACUUUUCAGCCUGAUCAUGUAAUUUUGGCUGCCCUAAGGUGUAACUGCAGGACAGUAAAGUGAAAAAAAAAAGUCUUUUGCCAUGUUCAUAGAGCUGCCUUACAGAAUCUCUGCCGCUGUGUGACAGCCCCUGCUGCUGCCGUCUGCAGCCGGAGACAUCCUUUAGGAGGAAGUGGGAGUUUCUCUUAUGCAGGAGUGGCAGCACUGUGCUCUUAAAAUUGCUUGCCGUCUGGGUAAGGAAAUAUGUCCUUUGUAGGUCACUGGUCAAACUGUCACAUCUGUGUGCUCAAACAUCGAGGCUGAAAGCCUGCUGUGGCAGUGGGAGGCUGUGCAGGGGCAGGGUCCAGGUGCAAGGUCAGGGUCCAAGUUUGGGAAAUACCUCCAUUAUUGACUCACUGUGUUACGGAUACGUUCUGCACGUUCACAGGGAAAGGAUAGGACAUGGAGAGCUUUCGGCUCUUCUCCUGUCCUCCCCUCUCCACUCUGUUUUUAGUUUUGGUGUUUUCACCUGUUCAACACAAGUGCACAAAAGCUGACUGAAAAUAACUGUGCGUGCUGAAUCUGACACUACUCAAAUUGGCGAUAAAAGCACUGAGCUCUGUGGCUGAGUUCAAAGCUUUGCAUCAGUGGUUGGAGACAGCAGAAGGCAGGCUGCAGCCUGCAGCCACAGGGAGUCGUGCCCUGGAGAUGGGGACACAGCUCAUACCUCAUCAUCGUGGCCAGUGGGCAGUCAGCAGCUCAGCCUGGCCGCAUGGUCUCCAAAGCUGGGAAGGCAAACCGCAGCAAGCAGCUGGGCAAGCAGAAAAUACAACACAGCAAGGCUUCUUUUGACCUCCUUCUCACUCGCAUGCAAAGCUGCCUUUACCAGAAAAGUCCCUGGGACAGCGCUUCUUUGGCAGUAUUCUCUGAAUUCCUUGACAUACAACUGAAGUGCUGAGAAUACUACAAUAGUCAUUCAUCACAGUACAAAAGAAGCCAAGUCCAAGUCGUUACAGAAUGUAUCCAGCAGUUGCACUGGUACUGUUUUCACAAGUACAACAAAAAUAUUUCUCGCUGAAAGACAGCAGCAUAGACUGACUAAUAUCAGGUGUGCAAAAUAAAAAAUAAUAAUAAAAAUAAUUAAAAAGAGUAUAACUUG
ensembl:lncRNA